rfam:Aedes aegypti strain Liverpool supercont1.31 genomic scaffold, whole genome shotgun sequence.
UGCCCAGCAAAUCCUAUCCCUAUCUCCUCGCGGUACUGGCCGGGGUACGAGUAACCAUGGGGAAGA